CACCAGGCACCGUGUUCUCAUUCAACAAAGACUCAGCUGGCACAGAGCUUUAGCACCUUAAGUUGCUCAAUUUGAUCUCUGCACUCAGGAACAAGAAUCUUCCUGGUUUGUGGAAAGAGUGCUAUUCUGACAUUGGAUGCUGCUGAGAAUCGGGCAACAGUCUUAGUGAGGUGACCAUCAUCUGAGGAGUUUUGAUGUGAGGACUGUGAACAUCUCCAGAACAGGAGACAUUUGGAAGAGCUUGUGCCCACUGGUAUCUGAAACUUGGCUGCUCAUUCUUCAGAAACCCCUUGUAUCCUGCUAUGAUUCCUCAGCAACACCAUCACAUGGAAAAGAACCAACAAUGUGAAGAAACGAAUAUGGUGUUCAUUUUCAAACUGAAAAAGGAAAUAAUUACAGUUACUAUUUACAGUGUCUGGCUUUUCAAGCUUCAUGCUACAAGCAGCUAACUCUUUGUCAAACAAUUAAUUUUGUUUAAAAUAAAUAAGUUUAUAUAUUUAA
ensembl:lncRNA novel transcript, antisense to SMIM21